GCCUGUAGCCAAGUGGUAAGGCAUGGGACUGCAACUCCCUGAUCGCUGGUUCAAAUCCGGUCGGG
rnacentral:tRNA from 1 species